AUGCCCCUUGGCACGCGGCUGAGGGCGAACUCGCUGCGGCUGCCGAGGCGCGGCCCCGCGGCGCAGGCUGGCGACGGCUCUGCGUCACCCGCGGCCGUGGAGAAGCCUGACUGCGACUCCCGCGGCCAGAGUAGCGACCGCGAGGGCACAAGCCAGCCCGCGGUAGAGAAGCAGCUGGCCCCCAGUCAGGACCGCCCCGACGGUGGGCACCGCGUCCUGGUCGCUGCCUUCCGUCCCCAUCAGCUGCGUGGCCUGGCGCUCCGGUCGGACGACGUCCGGCAGGAUCACCCCGCGGGGCCCGUCUUUUUCCAGGAUGGGCAGCUCUGUUCGCAGAGAACGAGAGACGGUUCCCGCUGUGCUAGUCCGAGCACAGGGACCUUCCCGGAGGUGACACAGGCACACGCUGUGGCUGGGACAGCAGCACUGGCUGGUGCCGGAGGGAUCUCGAGAACGGCCGUCCCCAGGAGACCCAGGCGGGGUCUCCAGCACGUCCGGAAAACGCCAGGGACGGCAGGGCCGCACCCAGCACUCGGCUCGCCACUGGCCGCUCCCAAAAAUGACCCAAGAGGCGGCCCUGCUUUAGACUCGCAAGCGAAACCGAGGUUCCGCGCUGCGCCCUGUUCCCGCCACCGACGCACGGAAGAAAGUCUAAAGAUGAGCACCGACGGCUGCUCGGGGCCGAGGGUCCAGACUAGCGUCUUGGGCACUUGCCGUGUCCGCAGGUCAGUCCGGGGGAGGCGGACAGGACCUGCCCGCCCUCUGUCCAUCCCCAGGCCCCUCUCCUCGGGGAUCCCGCCCCCAGCCGCUCACCCCAGACCCCGACCAGCUAACAGGGCGCUCGGGGCCCAGACGCCGAGGGUCCCCCCCGGGCCUCUGCCCGCAGGUCGGUCCCGCGUCCCUCCCACGGGGCAGGGGCCGCUCGCCCUGCUUACAGGGAACCACCGACCACGGGGUUUUCUCAGGAGGCCUAAUCCGGACGACAGAGCAGGAGAAACAGGACACACCGCUAU
rnacentral:lncRNA from 1 species